UACGGAGGAUGCGAGCGUUAUCCGGAUUUAUUGGGCUUAAAGGGUGCGUAGGCGGACUGUCAAGUCAGCGGUAAAAUUGAGAGGCUCAACCUCUUCCCGCCGUUGAAACUGGUGGUCUUGAGUGGAUGAGAAGUACGCGGAAUGCGUGGUGUAGCGGUGAAAUGCAUAGAUAUCACGCAGAACUCCGAUUGCGAAGGCAGCGUACCGGCAUCCAACUGACGCUGAGGCACGAAAGCGUGGGGAUCAAACAGG
rnacentral:rRNA from 1 species